UACGGGGGGGCAAGCGUUGUUCGGAAUUACUGGGCGUAAAGGGUUCGUAGGUGGCUGGCUAAGUCAGACGUGAAAUCCCUCAGCUUAACUGGGGAACUGCGUCUGAGACUGGUCAGCUUGAGUGCAGGAGAGGAACGCGGAAUUCCAGGUGUAGCGGUGAAAUGCGUAGAUAUCUGGAGGAACACCGGUGGCGAAGGCGGCGUUCUGGACUGCAACUGACACUGAGGAACGAAAGCCAGGGGAGCAAACGGG
rnacentral:rRNA from 1 species